rnacentral:tRNA from 1 species
GUCUCAGUAGCGUAGUGGUUAGUGCACGCCCCAGGGAGACGCGGGUUCGAAUCCCGCCUGAGAUG